rnacentral:rRNA from 1 species
GAAUUUAAACCUCUUCCAGAGUAUCAAUUGGAGGGCAAGUCUGGUGCCAGCAGCCGCGGUAAUUCCAGCUCCAAUAGCGUAUAUUAAAAUUGUUGCAGUUAAAAAGCUCGUAGUUGAAUUUCUGCUGCAUUGCAUCUUCUUUUUGAUGAGUUGGUGUAUUGUGGCUUAUUUCGGAUGAUACUUGUAUUAUCCGGAUGAUUACUUUGAGAAAAUUAGAGUGCUCAAAGCAGGCUUUUGCCUUGAAUAGUUUAGCAUGGAAUAAUAAAGUAGGACUUUGGUUCUAUUUUGUUGGUUUUAGGUACCAAAGUAAUGGUUAAUAGGAACAGUUGGGGGCAUUCGUAUUUAACUGUCAGAGGUGAAAUUCUUAGAUUUGUUAAAGACGAACUACUGCGAAAGCAUUUGCCAAGGAUGUUUUCAUUAAUCAAGAACGAAAGUUAGGGGAUCGAAGACGAUCAGAUUCCGU